CCUGUGGCUGCAGCACUUUGCAGCUCCUGAGAGUUGGAGCCCCUUCUCCAGCUUUGGCUACAAGUUCAUCUCAGUUCAUAACAGUUGUGUUUUUACCUUUGUUCUGCUUCCCUACGCAUAAGCCCGUGGCCUAGAGGGAGAAAUGCUGCUUGAAUGUGCAGGAAACCUGGGCUAGAUUCCCGUUCUCUUGCUCCUUCAACUACUUUAAAAGGAAAAGGAGUGGGGUUUUCCAGCCACAUGCGUGUCACAUUCAUGCAUUUCGUUAAGGCAGCAUCGCGGGGAACUCACUCUCCAAGCCUCAUUACCUUUUGUCUCCAGUUCCAGGAACGGAGCAGACGGUUGCCAGACCGUGGUAUGCAACGUUUACCCCUUGAAAAUCUUUAAAGAAUUUAAACUUUGCACAGACGUUUUAAGCAGACCCAGCUGCCAAUUCCACAUGAGACAGUCUUAAGAUAAAUGGAUGUUUGUAAUCACCCCGGCGCUGGCGAGGGAAAUGCACCGCCAUUCAGCCAGACAAGCAAGCGAUGAGGAAAGUGUCCCGAGUGUUCACACCAGCGAUGGCUGAGGGAUGCAGAAGCCACGAAUCCUGUGCAGGGACCUCGCACUAACCAUGGACACGCUUCGGAGGGUGGCACUGACCCCGGUGGACAGCGCAGCCAGCCCGCGAGGCUCGGGUCACUCUUCUUGCCCUAAGCCACACUGGAUCAGCUGAUUUCAUUUCUAAUUUCCUCACACAUGUGCUCAAGCACAGCUGUGGAACAUGAGCCGAGUCUGCAGAGGAAAUCCUGAGAUUUACACAGGCCCCAGUGGAUUAUAAAAAACCUGGAAACCGGACAGAUAACACUCAUGUAACAGACUCGAAACAUGCUGAGGAGAAAAAAAAAAUCACAAUAGAUUAAAACCUGCUGUUCUCUGCAAAAUGUAAAA